CCAGGGGAUAACAGUCUUCGUCGCUAUAUCCCACACUGUUUAUGUUCAAGUAGAGAUAACAUAUUGAGUUUUCAAAAACUGCUCACGAUUCAUAAUGAACUGAGUAAUAUUGGCUGAUCAUUCCACAAAAAAAUAAUUGAAACUAUGAUGUGGAAGCGAUACCUUCAUCUUUAUACUCAACACUCCGUAUGUGAUGGAUUAGAUAUAUGAAAGCAGUACUGAUUAAAGGUUGAUUUUAAGAAGAAUCGUCAACUGACUCGCAUGACACCGGACCAUGCCGUUUUCGAAUGAAAGAGGAAGAUAUUUUCUUUUGGAUUUACUACUCUGUCACAUUAGACUAACCAGGUAUUUCGAUAUAAUUGUGGCUUCUUAACCGCUUAGAGAUUACAUGCAUAGAAUAUUCUGAAAUGGCAAAUGUUUCUUCCUCAUUCUUUAAAUAUAUUAGAGGUUGAUGCCUUCCAAGAAUCGAACAUAUUUAAUCUCAAACGAAAUUAUUUUCUAGGAACACGAAAGACAAAUUUUAAUACAAAACAAUCGAAUCACUGUCGCAAAUGAAUGAACCCCAAAGCUUGAAGUAACUUGGCAGGAAUUACAAUCUCUUGGAAUUAAGAACAAAAAUUGAAUAUUUUUCUGAUACAAUAAUUAUUAAAAUCGUUGAAGAGAAUUUUCCAGAAUAAUACAAAAUGCUUUUCAGUUUUAUUGCAAUAAUUUUCACUAUUUUUUAUUUGGAUAUCAAGUA